rnacentral:rRNA from 1 species
GAGUUUGAUCGUGGCUCAGGAUGAACGCUAGCGGCAGGCUUAACACAUGCAAGUCGAGGGGCAGCACUGGUAGCAAUACCUGGUGGCGACCGGCAAACGGGUGCGGAACACGUACGCAAUUUACCCUUGUCUGGGGGAUAGCCCGGAGAAAUCCGGAUUAACACCCCAUAAGAUAUUAGAGUGGCAUCACUUAGAUAUUAAAAUCUCCGGAGGACAAGGAUGAGCGUGCGUCCCAUUAGAUAGUUGGCGGGGUAACGGCCCACCAAGUCGACGAUGGGUAGC